GACGGGACCGCACAAGCAGCGGAGCGUGUGGUUUAAUUCGAUGCUACACGAGGAACCUUACCAAGGUUUGACAUGUAAGUGGUAGUGAUCUGAAAAGUGAACGACCCUUCGGGGAGCUUACACAGGUGCUGCAUGGCUGUCGUCAGCUCGUGUCGUGAGAUGUUCGGUUAAGUCCGCUAACGAGCGCAACCCUCACUGUGUGUUACAUGUGUCACACGGGACUGCCGGUUUUAAGCCGGAGGAAGGCGAGGAUGACGUCAAGUCAGCAUGGCCUUUAUAUCUUGGGCUACACACACGCUACAAUGGUCUGUACAAUAGGUUGCCAAGCCGCGAGGCGGAGCCAAUCCUUAAAGCAGGCCUCAGUUCAGAUUGCAGGCUGCAACCCGCCUGCAUGAAGAUGGAGUUGCUAGUAACCGCAAGUCAGCUAUACUGCGGUGAAUACGUUCCCGGGUCUU
rnacentral:rRNA from 1 species